rnacentral:rRNA from 1 species
AUAGGGGAGCCGGAGGGAAACCGAGUCUUAAUUGGGCGUUAAGUUGCAGGGUAUAGACCCGAAACCCGGUGAUCUAGCCAUGGGCAGGUUGAAGGUUGGGUAACACUAACUGGAGGACCGAACCGACUAAUGUUGAAAAAUUAGCGGAUGACCUGUGGCUGGGGGUGAAAGGCCAAUCAAACCGGGAGAUAGCUGGUUCUCCCCGAAAGCUAUUUAGGUAGCGCCUCGUGAAUUCAUCUCCGGGGGUAGAGCACUGUUUCGGCUAGGGGGCCAUCCCGGCUUACCAACCCGAUGCAAACUGCGAAUACCGGAGAAUGUUAUCACGGGAGACACACGGCGGGUGCUAACGUCCGUCGUGAAGAGGGAAACAACCCAGACCGCCAGCUAAGGUCCCAAAGUCAUGGUUAAGUGGGAAACGAUGUGGGAAGGCCCAGACAGCCAGGAUGUUGGCUUAGAAGCAGCCAUCAUUUAAAGAAAGCGUAAUAGCUCACUGGUCGAGUCGGCCUGCGCGGAAGAUGUAACGGGGCUAAACCAUGCACCGAAGCUGCGGCAGCGACACUCAGGUGUCGUUGGGUAGGGGAGCGUUCUGUAAGCCUGCGAAGGUGGCCUGUGAGGGUUGCUGGAGGUAUCAGAAGUGCGAAUGCUGACAUAAGUAACGAUAAAGCGGGUGAAAAGCCCGCUCGCCGGAAGACCAAGGGUUCCUGUCCAACGUUAAUCGGGGCAGGGUGAGUCGACCCCUAAGGCGAGGCCGAAAGGCGUAGUCGAUGGGAAACGGGUUAAUAUUCCCGUACUUGGUGUUACUGCGAAGGGGGGACGGAGAAGGCUAUGUUGGCCGGGCGACGGUUGUCCCGGUUUAAGCGUGUAGGUGUGUGUUCCAGGUAAAUCCGGUUCACUUUAACACUGAGGCGUGACGACGAGGCACUACGGUGCUGAAGCAACAAAUGCCCUGCUUCCAGGAAAAGCCUCUAAGCAUCAGGUAACAUCAAAUCGUACCCCAAACCGACACAGGUGGUCAGGUAGAGAAUACCAAGGCGCUUGAGAGAACUCGGGUGAAGGAACUAGGCAAAAUGGUGCCGUAACUUCGGGAGAAGGCACGCUGACACGUAGGUGAAGUGAUUUACUCAUGGAGCUGAAGUCAGUCGAAGAUACCAGCUGGCUGCAACUGUUUAUUAAAAACACAGCACUGUGCAAACACGAAAGUGGACGUAUACGGUGUGACGCCUGCCCGGUGCCGGAAGGUUAAUUGAUGGGGUCAGCGCAAGCGAAGCUCCUGAUCGAAGCCCCGGUAAACGGCGGCCGUAACUAUAACGGUCCUAAGGUAGCGAAAUUCCUUGUCGGGUAAGUUCCGACCUGCACGAAUGGCGUAAUGAUGGCCAGGCUGUCUCCACCCGAGACUCAGUGAAAUUGAACUCGCUGUGAAGAUGCAGUGUACCCGCGGCAAGACGGAAAGACCCCGUGAACCUUUACUAUAGCUUGACACUGAACAUUGAGCCUUGAUGUGUAGGAUAGGUGGGAGGCUUUGAAGUGUGGACGCCAGUCUGCAUGGAGCCGGCCUUGAAAUACCACCCUUUAAUGUUUGAUGUUCUAACGUGGACCCGUGAUCCGGGUUGCGGACAGUGUCUGGUGGGUAGUUUGACUGGGGCGGUCUCCUCCUAAAGAGUAACGGAGGAGCACGAAGGUUGGCUAAUCCUGGUCGGACAUCAGGAGGUUAGUGCAAUGGCAUAAGCCAGCUUGACUGCGAGCGUGACGGCGCGAGCAGGUGCGAAAGCAGGUCAUAGUGAUCCGGUGGUUCUGAAUGGAAGGGCCAUCGCUCAACGGAUAAAAGGUACUCCGGGGAUAACAGGCUGAUACCGCCCAAGAGUUCAUAUCGACGGCGGUGUUUGGCACCUCGAUGUCGGCUCAUCACAUCCUGGGGCUGAAGUAGGUCCCAAGGGUAUGGCUGUUCGCCAUUUAAAGUGGUACGCGAGCUGGGUUUAGAACGUCGUGAGACAGUUCGGUCCCUAUCUGCCGUGGGCGCUGGAGAACUGAGGGGGGCUGCUCCUAGUACGAGAGGACCGGAGUGGACGCAUCACUGGUGUUCGGGUUGUCAUGCCAAUGGCACUGCCCGGUAGCUAAAUGCGGAAGAGAUAAGUGCUGAAAGCAUCUAAGCACGAAACUUGCCCCGAGAUGAGUUCU